rfam:Thermoplasmatales archaeon B_DKE contig-33, whole genome shotgun sequence.
AAAAGCCCGAGGGCAACUUACGCUCGAAAGAGUGAGGAAAGUCCCCCCUCCUCGACAGGUUCCAAUCAACUCAAGUUGAUAUCCCGAGAGGGAUGGUAAAGAGAAAAGAAAUUCACGGUUUCAUGUUAAGAAUGACUCGAAAAGACGACGUUUCAUGAAGAGCCGAUGGGAACUCUCCCUGGAUGGAGCAAGUCUAAAGAGACCCUAUGAGACUGUCGUGAGGGUCAGGUAAGACGCAUGUCCCAAUGGGACAAAAGUCGAAUGUUGCCAACCGUAAAAGCGGCCAACAGAAGGGGGCUUAUUCCGGGCAUUU